rnacentral:rRNA from 1 species
AGAAAAGCAGGGGAUCGUAAGACCUUGCGUUAAUGGAGCGGCCGAUAUCUGAUUAGCUAGUUGGUGGGGUAAAGGCCCACCAAGGCUUUGAUCAGUAGCUGGUCUGAGAGGACGACCAGCCACACUGGAACUGAGACACGGUCCAGACUCCUACGGGAGGCAGCAGUGGGGAAUUUUGGACAAUGGGCGCAAGCCUGAUCCAGCCAUUCCGCGUGAGUGAAGAAGGCCUUCGGGUUGUAAAGCUCUUUCGCAAGGGAAGAAAACUUAUCUAAUAACACUAGGUGAGGCUGACGGUACCUUGAUAAGAAGCACCGGCUAACUACGUGCCAGCAGCCGCGGUAAUACGUAGGGUGCGAGCGUUAAUCGGAAUUACUGGGCGUAAAGCGUGCGCAGGCGGUUCUGUAAGUCAGAUGUGAAAUCCCCGGGCUCAACCUGGGAACUGCGUUUGAAACUACAAGGCU